CUGGAAGGGAAUUUUGGGCUCCUGUAUUGCCCCAAGACGUGGAUUCUAAUCCUGGCUCUGACACCUACCCCCUGGGAAAUGAUGAAAUGUCCAGUUUCAGAAGAAAGUGGGAGAUCUCUAUGAGCUGAUACAGAGCAAGGUCUGCAAUUGAUCAUAUAGAUGAUGAAGCAGAAUUUUACAGUAGUUAUGGCUUGCCUGUGGUCACCCAGCUAAUAAAUGUCAGAGGGAAGACUGGAACCCAGCCAUUCCUGACACCAGCUCCAGUACUCUC